rnacentral:rRNA from 1 species
ACGUAGGGGGCUAGCGUUGUCCGGAAUCAUUGGGCGUAAAGCGCGCGCAGGCGGUUUCUUAAGUCUGAUGUGAAAGCCCACGGCUCAACCGUGGAGGGUCAUUGGAAGCUGGGAAACUUGAGUGCAGAAGAGGAAAGCGGAAUUCCACGUGUAGCGGUGAAAUGCGUAGAGAUGUGGAGGAACACCAGUGGCGAAGGCGGCUUUCUGGUCUGUAACUGACGCUGAGGCGCGAAAGCGUGGGGAGCAAACAGGA